rnacentral:rRNA from 1 species
GACGUAGGGUGCGAGCGUUGUCCGGAUUUAUUGGUUUAAAGGGUGCGUAGGUGGCUUUAUAAGUCAGUGGUGAAAUACAGCCGCUUAACGGUUGAGGUGCCAUUGAUACUGUAGAGCUUGAAACAAUUGGAGGCUGCCGGAAUGGAUGGUGUAGCGGUGAAAUGCAUAGAUAUCAUCCAGAACACCGAUUGCGAAGGCAGGUGGCUACGUUUGAUUUGACACUGAGGCACGAAAGCAUGGGGAGCAAACAGG